rnacentral:rRNA from 1 species
UACGUAGGGGGCAAGCGUUGUCCGGAUUUAUUGGGCGUAAAGAGCGUGUAGGCGGUUUGGUAGGUCCGCUGUGAAAACUCGAGGCUCAACCUCGAGACGCCGGUGGAAACCAUCAGGCUAGAGUCCGGAAGAGGAGAGUGGAAUUCCUGGUGUAGCGGUGAAAUGCGCAGAUAUCGGGAAGAACACCCGUGGCGAAGGCGGUUCUCUGGGACGGUACUGACGCUGAGACGCGAAAGCGUGGGGAGCGAACAGG